GCUUUUAUCUGGAUUCUACUUGAGUAUGCAAGAAACAUGUCACGAAAGUGAUCGUUAGCUGAUGUUUAUUUGCAGGAAAAAGUUUCCAUAGGGUGCUACUCGGAGAGCACACAGCAAAGAUUCAUGAUAUAUUGUACUUCUACUGCGACGAGAGGAUCAUGGCAGUACGCUACGGCGACUUCAAGAUACACUUUUACACCCAGGCGGUUAUUCAAACAGAGUAUUACACGAACGAGACAAACUGCGUAAACGGUGUCCCUCAGAAAGCAUUGGUGUUUACUUGCAAGGAUUGCGACUCGCCAUGCGUGACUGCACACAUACCACCAUUGAUUUACAAUAUUGAGAAUGAUCCAGGCGAAAAGUUUUCGCUACCCGCCCACAACUACGAAGACGUGCUCAGAAACGUACGCCGCCUAGUGGCGGCUCACUCGCAAACACUUACGGGGAUAAAUAAGAGAGCAUCGGAGUUGGCUAAGCCCAUGUCUGAUGCACUUGUAACGUGCUGCGACCCGCCCGCUUGCAAUUGUAACUACCCUGGCCAGACUGGCAAAACCAAGUCGAACUAUCUAAAAAAGAGUAAUGAAAUUCGUAGUGCAAUCGUUAAUGCCAACAAUGAAAACGCUUCAAUGCAAAAAACUCAACCUUUAGUUGCGCUGAUUAUUUCAUUAUUGAUAGUAAAUAUACCCAUUACUGCGAGUUAGAGUAUAUAUACGGAAGGAUGGUAACAUUACCUAACUAUGGAAGAAGUAAUUGAUUAACAAUUAUGUAGCUAAGGUUCUGCCAUGUGACUGUCUUUAGGUGCAAAUCAACAAAUAAAACAAGCUUUCGCGUGUCAUCUCGACA